UGGAAGGAUAGCUCAGAUUGUAAAGCAUGAGACUCUUAAUCUCAGGGUCAUCGGUUUGAGCCCCACAUUGGGCAAAA